UGCAAGUCGAACGGUAACAUUUCUAGCUUGCUAGAAGAUGACGAGUGGCGGACGGGUGAGUAAUGCUUGGGAACUUGCCUUUGCGAGGGGGAUAACAGUUGGAAACGACUGCUAAUACCGCAUAAUGUCUACGGACCAAACGGGGCUUAGGCUCCGGCGCAAAGAGAGGCCCAAGUGAGAUUAGCUAGUUGGUAAGGUAACGGCUUACCAAGGCGACGAUCUCUAGCUGUUCUGAGAGGAAGAUCAGCCACACUGGGACUGAGACACGGCCCAGACUCCUACGGGAGGCAGCAGUGGGGAAUAUUGCACAAUGGGGGAAACCCUGAUGCAGCCAUGCCGCGUGUGUGAAGAAGGCCUUCGGGUUGUGAAGCACUUUCAGUUGUGAGGAAAAGUUAGUAGUUAAUACCUGCUAGCCGUGACGUUAACAACAGAAGAAGCACCGGCUAACUCCGUGCCAGCAGCCGCGGUAAUACGGAGGGUGCGAGCGUUAAUCGGAAUUACUGGGCGUAAAGCGCACGCAGGCGGUUCGUUAAGCUAGAUGUGAAAGCCCCGGGCUCAACCUGGGAUGGUCAUUUAGAACUGGCAGACUAAAGUCUUGGAGAGGGGAGUGGAAUUCCAGGUGUAGCGGUGAAAUGCG
rnacentral:rRNA from 1 species